UUAAAUUGAAGAGUUUGAUCAUGGCUCAGAUUGAACGCUGGCGGCAGGCCUAACACAUGCAAGUCGAACGGUAACAGGAAGCAGCUUGCUGCUUUGCUGACGAGUGGCGGACGGGUGAGUAAUGUCUGGGAAACUGCCUGAUGGAGGGGGAUAACUACUGGAAACGGUGGCUAAUACCGCAUAACGUCGCAAGACCAAAGAGGGGGACCUUCGGGCCUCUUGCCAUCAGAUGUGCCCAGAUGGGAUUAGCUUGUUGGUGAGGUAACGGCUCACCAAGGCGACGAUCCCUAGCUGGUCUGGGAGGAUGACCAGCCACACUGGAACUGAGACACGGUCCAGACUCCUACGGGAG
rnacentral:rRNA from 1 species